AACGCGAAGAACCUUACCUGGGCUCGAACGGCUUCUCAACGAUCGUGGAAACACGGUUACCCCGCAAGGGGGUGGAGUCGAGGUGCUGCAUGGCUGUCGUCAGCUCGUGUCGUGAGAUGUUGGGUUAAGUCCCGCAACGAGCGCAACCCUCGCCCUUAGUUGCCAUCCCGCAAGGGGGCACUCUAGGGGGACUGCCACGGAUAACGUGGAGGAAGGUGAGGAUGACGUCAAGUCCUCAUGGCCUUUAUGUCCAGGGCUACACACGUGCUACAAUGGCCGGUACAAAGGGCUGCGAUGCCGUGAGGCUUAGCGAAUCCUUUUAAAGCCGGUCUCAGUUCGGAUCGGGGUCUGCAACUCGACCCCGUGAAGUCGGAGUCGCUAGUAAUCGCAGAUCAGCAACGCUGCGGUGAAUACGUUCCCGGGCCUUGUACACACCGCUACAGU
rnacentral:rRNA from 1 species